rnacentral:rRNA from 1 species
AGAAUCAACGCUGGCGGCGUGCCUAACACAUGCAAGUCGAACGAGAAAGGGGUAGCAAUACCCUGAGUAAAGUGGCGCACGGGUGAGUAACACGUGACUAACCUACCCUGGAGUGGGGGGAUAACUGAGGGAAACCUUAGCUAAUACCGCAUAAUACCUACGGGUCAAAGGAGCAAUUCGCUUUGGGAGGGGGUCGCGGCCGAUUAGUUAGUUGGCGGGGUAAUGGCCCACCAAGACGAUGAUCGGUAUCCGGCCUGAGAGGGCGCACGGACACACUGGAACUGAAACACGGUCCAGACUCCUACGGGAGGCAGCAGUGGGGAAUUUUGCGCAAUGGGGGAAACCCUGACGCAGCAACGCCGCGUGGAGGAUGAAGUACUUCGGUACGUAAACUCCUUUCGAUCGGGACGAUUAUGACGGUACCGAGAGAAGAAGCCCCGGCUAACUUCGUGCCAGCAGCCGC